rnacentral:ncRNA from 1 species
CGUUAGGAGGUUGCCUCUGUCGUUACCUACUCUAGCAGAUACGGGAAUGCAACUGUCGA